AAGUCAUUCCGACACAUCCCGAAAACAUACUUUUUGUCGCGAGUCUGGAACUGUUUGGUUGAUUUUGUUGGGCCACAUGUUUGUAAUUAUCAUCUUUUGUUGUAAGUUUCAGGAUGAACACCAGGGUCUUUCGUCAACCAAAGAGCCAUCAACCUUCUGAGCUACUAAUUGCCAUGGAACAAUUGCACUGUAAUGUUCAACAACGGCUUCUGAGAAAUUGUCGUACUGUUAUUAUGUCUUGCAUUUGACAGCAAAAUUAACAACGGCAUCAAGUUAUUCUUUCUCAAUUCUCAAUGCUUCACCGGUUGUCCACAAGAGAUUGUCGGCAGUGCAAGCUUCGAAGACUUUCUAUUGUGAAAACUAAAGGUCCUUCAAAGCUGAUUCAAACGACCCAUCACUUAAACGAAAGGACUCCUUAAAGAAGAGGUUAAGGCAAAUUACAUCUUCAUAUUUUGAUGUCGGCGACAGGCGUCGAGUGAGGCUCCCCAUAUAUCAGGCCCAGCUUGCAUUGGCAUGUCGUUAAUUACGUCCGAAGC